rnacentral:misc_RNA from 1 species
UGUAGGAGUGAGCCUGCUCGCGAUAGCAAUUGUUCAGUCGACAUCGAGUUGUCUGGACUGGCGCUAUCGCGAGCAGGCUCACUCCUACA